rnacentral:rRNA from 1 species
UACGUAGGGUGCGAGCGUUAAUCGGAAUUACUGGGCGUAAAGCGUGCGCAGGCGGUUUUGUAAGCCAGAUGUGAAAUCCCCGGGCUUAACCUGGGAAAUGGCAUUUGGGACUGCAAGGCUUGGAGUGCGGCAGAGGAGACUGGAAUUCCGUGGUGUAGCAGUGAAAAUGGCGUAGAAUAUCAGGAGGAACACCGAUGGCGAAAGGCCAGGUCUCUGGGCCACUACUGACGCUGAGAAGCGAAAGCAUGGGGAGCGAACAGGA